AUUGAACGCUGGCGGCAGGCCUAACACAUGCAAGUCGAGCGGAUGAAGGGAGCUUGCUCCUGGAUUCAGCUGCGGACGGGUGAGUAAUGCCUAGGAAUCUGCCUGGUAGUGGGGGAUAACGUCCGGAAACGGGCGCUAAUACCGCAUACGUCCUGAGGGAGAAAGUGGGGGAUCUUCGGACCUCACGCUAUCAGAUGAGCCUAGGUCGGAUUAGCUAGUUGGUGGGGUAAAGGCCUACCAAGGCGACGAUCCGUAACUGGUCUGAGAGGAUGAUCAGUCACACUGGAACUGAGACACGGUCCAGACUCCUACGGGAGGCAGCAGUGGGGAAUAUUGGACAAUGGGCGAAAGCCUGAUCCAGCCAUGCCGCGUGUGUGAAGAAGGUCUUCGGAUUGUAAAGCACUUUAAGUUGGGAGGAAGGGCAGUAAGUUAAUACCUUGCUGUUUUGACGUUACCAACGGAAUAAGCACCGGCUAACUUCGUG
rnacentral:rRNA from 1 species